GAUCGUACGUGCGUGGUGCUGCGAGGCGUUUUUCUUGAUCGUCUGUUUUUGUGUUUGCUGUAAUGAAGUCGGUCGCAGUUAGCGUGCACAGAAGUGCCUGAAGAUACCUUGUGUCAUGCUGCAAACUCGCCGUAUGCGUGGCGCGCCAGGCGAAUGUGGACCAACUAUUUUAUGCCGUGGAGUGCGGCCCCUUUUUUCUCGUUGUGGAAAGUUUGGUGGACGUCGCAAAGAAAUAAUGAGUGUUAGCGCGUCUCAGCUCGUCCACUGCGCAGCGGAAUGUAUGCGGGGAGUAACGUCGUCGACGCAGCACCGGCAACUUGGAGAGCGCUUUGCGAACGCGUCGUACCAUUGAAAAGUGGCGAGGCUGUGACCCACAACAGUGCCCACAUAACAGAGGAGCCACCAGACCCCUUGGCUAUGCCUGCGGUAGCGCAACAUGUAAUCUGGAUGGUCGGGUCAGGUUACCGCAUUAUUGACUUGGAAACCAGUGAGGUCUCUGGAUGCAAGUGAAGCUACCGAGGGAAGCAUGUGUGCAUCGCUUGUGCUACUGGCUAUCCUCUGCAAAAGUGAAGGCUGGCUGUCAGUGCUUGGAUGACUAUGUUACUCUGUGUUGACUACUUCACACUUGCUGCCAUGUCUGCAAGCUUAUGCAAAAAGACCGGCUGGAUGCUUGGUAGGAAAUAGUAUCUAACCGCAGUGGUACUGUGCUGUGUUUUUAUUCAUUACAAAGUGAAGGACAGUAUUUGUGCUGUUAUUAAGAAGUAUAAAUUGUGUUCUGCCAUUGAAAUAAGUGAACUUGACAAAAAAGCAAAAAAAUUCGAAGUCUGACCUAAAUGGGAAGGCAACAUAUAUUGUGUUAUGGUUGUAGCUGUUAGUAGGGUGUCUUAAUAUGCGAUA